rnacentral:rRNA from 1 species
CUACGUGCCAGCAGCCGCGGUAAUACGGAGGGUGCGAGCGUUAAUCGGAAUAACUGGGCGUAAAGGGCACGCAGGCGGUGACUUAAGUGAGGUGUGAAAGCCCCGGGCUUAACCUGGGAAUUGCAUUUCAUACUGGGUCGCUAGAGUACUUUAGGGAGGGGUAGAAUUCCACGUGUAGCGGUGAAAUGCGUAGAGAUGUGGAGGAAUACCGAAGGCGAAGGCAGCCCCUUGGGAAUGUACUGACGCUCAUGUGCGAAAGCGUGGGGAGCAAACAGGAUUAGAUACCCUGGUAGUCCACGCUGUAAACGAUGUCGAUUUGGGGGUUGARCUUURAGUUUGGCGCCCGUAGCUAACGUGAUAAAUCGACCGCCUGGGGAGUACGGCCGCAAGGUUAAAACUCAAAUGAAUUGACGGGGGCCCGCACAAGCGGUGGAGCAUGUGGUUUAAUUCGAUGCAACGCGAAGAACCUUACCUACUCUUGACAUCCAGA